UCUGGUUGAUCCUGCCGGACCUGACUGCUAUCGGAUUGGUACUAAGCCAUGCGAGUCAUUGUAGCAAUACAAGGCGGACGGCUCAGUAACACGUAGUCAACCUAACUCGUGGACGUGGAUAACCUCGGGAAACUGAGAAUAAACCACGAUAGAUCAUAAUGCCUGGAAUGGCUUAUGGUCCAAACAGUUUACUGCCAUGGGAUGGGACUGCGGCCUAUCAGCUUGUUGGUGAGGUAAUGGCCCACCAAGGCGAUUACAGGUACGGGCUCUGAGAGGAGAAGCCCGGAGAUGGGUACUGAGACACGGACCCAGGCCCUAUGGGGCGCAGCAGGCGAGAAACCUUAGCAAUGUGCGAAAGCACGACUGGGUCAGUCCGAGUGAUUCCUGAUAAAGGAGUCUUUUGCUUGUCCUAAAAGCACAGGUGAAUAAGGGGUGGGCAAGUCUGGUGUCAGCCGCCGCGGUAAUACCAGCACCUCGAGUGGUCAGGACGUUUAUUGGGCCUAAAGCAUCCGUAGCCGGCUUUGCAAGUCUUCGGUUAAAUCCACCUGCUCAACAGAUGGGCCGCUGGAGAUACUACAAAGCUAGGGAGUGGGAGAGGCAGACGGUAUUCAGUGGGUAGGGGUAAAAUCCUCUGAUCCAUUGAGGACCACCAGUGGCGAAGGCGGUCUGCCAGAACACGUUCGACGGUGAGGGAUGAAAGCUGGGGGAGCAAACCGGAUUAGAUACCCGGGUAGUCCCAGCUGUAAACGAUGCAAACUCGGUGAUGCAUUGGCUUAUGGCCAAUGCAGUGCCGCAGGGAAGCCGUUAAGUUUGCCGCCUGGGAAGUACGGACGCAAGUCUGAAACUUAAAGGAAUUGGCGGGGGAGCACCACAAGGGGUGAAGCCUGCGGUUCAAUUGGACUCAACGCCGGA
rnacentral:rRNA from 1 species